AUUGAACGCUGGCGGCAGGCCUAACACAUGCAAGUCGAGCGGCAGCGGGAAAGUAGCUUGCUACUUUUGCCGGCGAGCGGCGGACGGGUGAGUAAUGCCUGGGGAUCUGCCCAGUCGAGGGGGAUAACUACUGGAAACGGUAGCUAAUACCGCAUACGCCCUACGGGGGAAAGCAGGGGACCUUCGGGCCUUGCGCGAUUGGAUGAACCCAGGUGGGAUUAGCUAGUUGGUGAGGUAAUGGCUCACCAAGGCGACGAUCCCUAGCUGGUCUGAGAGGAUGAUCAGCCACACUGGAACUGAGACACGGUCUAGACUCCUACGGGAGGCAGCAGUGGGGAAUAUUGCACAAUGGGGGAAACCCUGAUGCAGCCAUGCCGCGUGUGUGAGGAAGGCCUUCGGGUUGUAAAGCACUUUCAGCGAGGAGGAAAGGUUGGUAGCUAAUAACUGCCAGCUGUGACGUUACUCGCAGAAGAAGCACCGGCUAACUCCGUGCCAGCCGCCGCUGUAA
rnacentral:rRNA from 1 species